rnacentral:rRNA from 1 species
CCUACGGGAGGCAGCAGUGGGGAAUAUUGGGCAAUGGGCGCAAGUCUGACCCAGCAACGCCGCGUGAAGGAAGAAGGCUUUCGGGUUGUAAACUUCUUUUCUCAGGGACGAAGAAAGUGACGGUACAUGAGGAAUAAGCCACGGCUAACUACGUGCCAGCAGCCGCGGUAAUACGUAGGUGGCAAGCGUUAGGCGGAUUUAUUGGGUGUAAGGGGCGAGUAGGCGGGAACGUAAGUCAGAUGUGAAAACUCACGGCUCAACCGUGGACCUGCAUUUGAAACUGUGUUUCUUGAGUGCUGGAGAGGCAAUCGGAAUUCCGUGUGUAGCGGUGAAAUGCGUAGAUAUACGGAGGAACACCAGUGGCGAAGGCGGAUUUCUGGACAGUAACUGACGCUGAGGCGCGAAAGCGUGGGGAGCAAACAGGAUUAGAUACCCUAGUAGUC